AAGUCGUAACAAGGUUUCCGUAGGUGAACCUGCGGAAGGAUCAUUACGUUAAAACAACCCCGUGAACUUUCAGCUCCUGUAGCCCGUGAAAGCAGCAAUCCUGGUAAAUCAUUGUUGACCAGCUUUUGAGUCAGGGACCUCUGCAGAUUGUGAUAUUUUAAAGCUACGGUAGCAUCCCCAAGUAAUCAGUGUUCUGAAAAUGUCAUUGAUUGUGUAAGUCACGAUCGCUGUAGGCCCACACGGCCGGCGACCGGAGUCUAACUUCGCCGCGCGUGAAAUUCGCACGGCACCAAAAACCGAACAACUGUUAACAAUGGAUAUCUUGGUUCUC
rnacentral:misc_RNA from 1 species